rnacentral:rRNA from 1 species
UACGGGGGGGGCAAGCGUUGUUCGGAAUUACUGGGCGUAAAGGGCUCGUAGGUGGCCAACUAAGUCAGACGUGAAAUCCCUCAGCUUAACUGGGGAACUGCGUCUGAUAUUGGAUGGCUUGAGUUUGGGAGAGGGAUGCGGAAUUCCAGGUGUAGCGGUGAAAUGCGUAGAUAUCUGGAGGAACACCGGUGGCGAAGGCGGCAUCCUGGACCAACACUGACGCUGAGUGAGCGAAAGCCAGGGGAGCAAACGGG